rnacentral:snRNA from 1 species
AUUGCUUUUUGGCCUUUCAGCUAAGAUCAAGUGUAGUAUCUGUUCUUAUCAGUUUAAAUUAAUGAACAAAAGAUUUACCUGCAUUUUCUAGACAUAUA